rnacentral:rRNA from 1 species
GACGAACGCUGGCGGCGUGCUUAACACAUGCAAGUCGAACGGAAAGGCCCUGCUUUUGUGGGGUGCUCGAGUGGCGAACGGGUGAGUAACACGUGAGUAACCUGCCCUUGACUUUGGGAUAACUUCAGGAAACUGGGGCUAAUACCGGAUAGGAGCUCCUGCUGCAUGGUGGGGGUUGGAAAGUUUCGGCGGUUGGGGAUGGACUCGCGGCUUAUCAGCUUGUUGGUGGGGUAGUGGCUUACCAAGGCUUUGACGGGUAGCCGGCCUGAGAGGGUGACCGGGCACAGUGUGCUAGAGAUACGGCCCGGGCGGAAUCGUGAGGCAUGAGUGGAGACUAGUGCAAGAUGUGCCGAGGGCGGGUGGAGGGACGCCGCGUGGGGGAGGACGGUUGUCGGGUUGGAAACGGCUUUCGUCUGUGACGAAGCGUGAUGGAGGUAAAUGAGGAAAGAGGCACGGGCUAAUUACGG